CCUACGGGUGGCAGCAGUGGGGAAUAUUGCACAAUGGGGGAAACCCUGAUGCAGCGACGCCGCGUGAGUGAAGAAGGAUUUCGGAAUGUAAAGCUCUAUCAGCAGGGAAGAAAAUGACGGUACCUGAGGAAGAAGCCCCGGCUAACGACGGGCCAGCAGCCGCGGUAAGACGGAGGGGGAAAGCGUUAACCGGAAUGACUGGGUGUAAAGGGAGCGUAGACGGGAGCACAAGUCUGGAGUGACAUGCCGGGGCUUAACCCCGGCACUGCAUUUGAAACGGUUCAUCUAGCGUGCAUGGGAGGUCAGUGCACUUCCUCGUGUAGCGGUUCCAUCCGUAGCUCUUAGGAGGCA
rnacentral:rRNA from 1 species